rnacentral:misc_RNA from 1 species
AACGCACCUUGCGCCCCUUGGUAUUCCGAGGGGCAUGCCUGUUUGAGUGUCAUUAAAUUCUCAACUUUCCAAGUUUCUUUGUAAACUUUGGCAAAGCUUGGAUUUGGAGUGUGCUGGCUUCACAACAGAAGUCGGGCUCCUCUUUAAAUGCAUUAGCAAAACCUUUGUGGAUCAGCUUUGGUGUGAUAAUUAUCUACGCCGCUGCUGCAAAACAACUUUUGAAGGAGUUGCUUCAAACCGUCUUAGGACAAACUCUUAAUUGACAUUUUGACCUCAAAUCAGGUAGGACUACCCGCUGAACUUAA